UCCCGUGUGGCUCAGUUGGUAGAGCAUGGUGUUUGCAACGCCAGGGUUGUGGGUUCGAUUCCCAAAGGGAC
rnacentral:tRNA from 1 species